rnacentral:rRNA from 1 species
AGUGAACGCUGGCGGCAGGCCUAACACAUGCAAGUCGAGCGGCAGCGCGUCCGACCACCCUCGGGUGGUCGGACCCCUGGCGGCGAGCGGCGGACGGGUGAGUAAUGCAUCGGAACGCGUCCUGUAAUGGGGGAUAACCUAGCGAAAGUUAGGCUAAUACCGCAUACGUCCUGAGGGAGAAAGCGGGGGAUCGUAAGACCUCGUGUUAUAGGAGCGGCCGAUGUCGGAUUAGCUAGUUGGUGGGGUAAAGGCCUACCAAGGCGACGAUCCGUAGCGGGUCUGAGAGGAUGAUCCGCCACACUGGGACUGAGACACGGCCCAGACUCCUACGGGAGGCAGCAGUGGGGAAUUUUGGACAAUGGGCGCAAGCCUGAUCCAGCCAUGCCGCGUGAGUGAAGAAGGCCUCGGUUGUAAGACGUCUUCUAGGUGGAAGAAAACGACGAUAGGGUCGAAGUAACCCUCGUGUGGAGUGACGGUACC